rnacentral:rRNA from 1 species
GACGAACCGUGCGAACGUUAUUCGGAAUCACUGGGCUUAAAGGGCGCGUAGGCGGGUUGCCAAGUCGGAGGUGAAAUCCUGCAGCUCAACUGCAGAAGUGCCCCCGAUACUGGCAGCCUCGAGUGAGGUAGGGGCAUGUGGAAUUCCCGGUGUAGUGGUGAAAUGCGUAGAUAUCGGGAGGAACACCAGUGGCGAAGGCGACUACCUGGCCUGUUCUUGACGCUGAGGCGCGAAAGCUAGGGGAGCAAACGGG